rnacentral:rRNA from 1 species
GAGGAGGACCACCCGCAAAGUGUUGUUCCCUGAAAAAUAAGGUUUGUGCGAGGUAGUCCCUAUGAAGUACAUCGACAAGCCGGAUGGAUUACGGCGCCUAUUAGUAUGCUUAGUGAUAAUGACUCCUUAGUUGACAAUGUUUAUUAUGUUCCUGCUCUUAUUACCUUCUCUUAUGUGUUCUCGCUUUUGGUAUUGAACCUGAUGUCAAAUAGCUAUCUUUUGUGGUCAUGUAAACGCACCAAGUUUGAUUCUGCCUUAUAAACCAAUGUUUAUCUUGUGC